rnacentral:rRNA from 1 species
UACGUAGGGGGCAAGCGUUGUCCGGAUUUAUUGGGCGUAAAGAGCUCGUAGGUGGUUCGGUAAGUCGGAUGUGAAAUCUCCAGGCUCAACCUGGAGGGGUCAUUCGAUACUGCCGUGACUAGAGUUCGGUAGGGGAGAUUGGAAUUCCUGGUGUAGCAGUGAAAUGCGUAGAUAUCAGGAGGAAUACCGAUAGCGAAGGCAGGUCUCUGGGCUGACACUGACGCUCAUGCACGAAAGCGUGGGGAGCAAACAGG